rnacentral:rRNA from 2 species
CAACUUUUAGCAACGGAUCUCUUGGCUCUCGCAUCGAUGAAGAACGCAGCGAAAUGCGAUAAGUAAUGUGAAUUGCAGAAUUCAGUGAAUCAUCGAAUCUUUGAACGCACCUUGCACUCCUUGGUAUUCCGAGGAGCAUGCCUGUUUGAGUGUCAUGG